UGCAAGUGAAAAGGUUGGAUAGGCCUUGCUGGUGAAACCUGAGGCAUAGGAAACAUUGGGCACCUCAGCCUUGCCUGCGUGUGCUCUUGUAAAAUUCACCCACCCCUUUUGACAGCGGAACCACUUCCUUUUCUUCCUUCCGCUACUGAAGUGAUUCUAGAAGCUCUUGUUGUUUUCAACAUGCCAGUUUGGGCUCUUUGACUUUACUAAAAGCAUCUUUUUGUGCCUGAGUAAUGUUUCUGUGUUUGUCCUUUGUGGCCUGUCCUUGCCUCUGUCAUGUGCAGUGGAUUUUUGCACUGGAACUCUGUCAGGAUUUCUCAGUUUAGCCAAGACGCUCUGCUGAUAUGCAGAGCACAGGGCUGGAACUUUCUUGUGCUGAGAAGAAUGUGACUUUGGAGACAACCUCAGUCUUUCAGAGCCCACAGGAUGCCACCCAACAGUUUCCUACAACAGAAAUCAUCUGCUUUCCUGAAGUUUGGGAUCUGUGCUCUGCUACUUGCCCUCCUCAUGCUCCUCAGGACCUUGAAUUCUGCUGGAUAUUAGUGAAAGCCAAAGAACACCACUCCCCAGGCUUCAGAUCACUGCCUGGGACACUGCUAUGGUUGGAGCUGGAUAAAUCUUCUGUCCCAUCCUCUUUGUUUAAUCUGGGAUUCUGAAAUAUAUUUACGCAUCAGAAAAGAGUCCAUGAAAAUAGAAGGUGCUGCAGCAACUGGGUCUUCAGUGUUAUGGUAAUGCAGAAAUCAUUGUAAUUUUAAAAUAUCGUUUGGAUUUCUUGCUUUGUAAAACAAAAAUAAAGACCCAAG
rnacentral:lncRNA from 1 species